rnacentral:rRNA from 1 species
AUUGAACGCUGGCGGCAGGCUUAACACAUGCAAGUCGAGCGGGGUGAUGGUGCUUGCACUAUCACUUAGCGGCGGACGGGUGAGUAAUGCUUAGGAAUCUGCCUAUUAGUGGGGGACAACAUCUCGAAAGGGAUGCUAAUACCGCAUACGUCCUACGGGAGAAAGCAGGGGAUCACUUGUGACCUUGCGCUAAUAGAUGAGCCUAAGUCGGAUUAGCUAGUUGGUGGGGUAAAGGCCUACCAAGGCGUCGAUCUGUAGCGGGUCUGAGAGGAUGAUCCGCGACACUGGGACUGAGACACGGCCCAGACUCCUACGGGAGGCAGCAGUGGGGAAUAUUGGACAAUGGGGGGAACCCUGAUCCAGCCAUGCCGCGUGUGUGAAGAGGGCCUUAUGGUUGUAAAGCACUUUAAGCGAGGAGGAGGCUCUUUUGGUUAAUACCCAAGAUGAGUGGACGUUACUCGCAGAAUAAGCACCGGCUAACUCUGUGCCAGCCGCCGCCGUAA